ensembl:lncRNA
AAUGGAGGGAGACCUGUCUGUCUCUGAGUAACACCUGAAUGGAGGGAGCCCUGUCUGUCUCUGAGUAACACCUGAAUGGAGGGAGACCUGUGUGUGGAGCUGAAGUUAAUUAAUGAACAUCAAAUGGUAUUGAGAAAGUGGCUGUGGAGGAGCAGUUUGUUAUGUGAUGAUCAUCUACAGUCCCUUCACAUUACUGUACGUUUAUUAAAGGUAAAGGGUAAAUCAAACUGUUUUUGACUUACUCUGUACUUUCACAAAUUAAUACAACAUUUAUAUUACACUUGGUGCAUUUUGAAGCAUGGAAUUGGGCCAAUAGAUUAUUUCUUUCAGCUGUAUAUUUGUGUUUCAACAGAAAACCAUUUCAGCUCCUGCGACAGCCAGACGGAAGGAGACAGCAACAUACCAGCCGUUAUCUCCAGGGAGAUGGGAUGUCUGGCUGUCGCCCUACAACGAGGAAGGCUGCUGCUGAGAGCAGGGGGUGCCUACUCAAGUCCUAGAAACAGCAACUAGAUUGUCAGCUGUAUAGGCCCUGCUGUACCGGAAUCCUCUAGUGCUUCUUCAAGGAUUGAUUUACUUCCCCUGCCUUCCAUUGACUGUAGAGGAACCAACCCUGAUACCAAAAUCAAUAACUACUCUAGUUUGUGUAUUUGCAUGUGUUUAUUUCAGGAAAUGGCUUCCUGAAAUCCCUCAAGCAGCUGAUUGGUCGACUCCAGGGCUAAUUGGAGAGCUGACCCCGCCCCCUCGUCAAGACACAGCUGUCUCCAAUUACCCAUUCCUUCAGAAGCUAUAUAAAAACCAGUGUUCUGUUCAGAAAAAAAGAUUCUCUUUUUUUGUAGAGGAUUUUGCUGGAGGUAAAUUUGCUAGAGAGAUAUUUUGUAGAGGAUUUUGCUAGAGGUUGAUUUUGCUGGGAGUUCAUUGCUGAGAGUUGGUAUGUUUUGUGAGUUUGUUGCUCAGAUAGAACUUAUUUGAUGUCCUUUGUCUCUUAGUUUGUUUGUGAAAUUGUUUAAUAUUCUGUUUCAUUUGUUCCCAGGGGGGAAGGGGAAGGCACCUAGGGAGUGCUUAGGCAAGAGGCCCGCGGGCAUACAUAUACCCGUAGCAUAUUCGCUGUCUAGGCACACUAGGUAAGACCUGGGCGGACCACCCCUUGUAUUUUGGUUAGGGCACCAGGUGGUGCUAAAUUAGGUAAGUAGUGGGUAGGCAG